UUAGCAAUAAAGCAUGAGCUGAG
rnacentral:piRNA from 1 species